AGUGGCUGCACCAGUCUGCAUUCCCACCAGCAGUGCAUGAGGGUUCCCUCUUUUCCACAUCCUCACCAGCACUUAUUGUUUGUUGAUUUAUUGAUGGCAGCCAUUCUGGCAACUGUGAGAUGAUACCUCGUUGUAAUUUUUAUUUGCAUCUCU